AUGGGGCUGCUGUGUGUCACCCGGCCUCACCUGCCUCUUCUCACCUCACCUUACCUCGCCUUGCCUCACGCCGCCUUGCACCGCCUCACGUCGCCUCAUGUCACCUCACGUCGCCUCACCACACCUCACGUCACCUCAUGUUGCCUCGCCUCACGUCACCUCAACGUCACCUCACGUCGCCUCACCACGCCUCACAUCGCCUCACGUCACCUCACGUUGCCUCACAUUGCCUCACGUUGCCUCACGUUGCCUCACGUCGCCUCAUGUCACCUCACCUCUCCUCACCACCCCUCAUGUCACCUCAUGUCGCCUCGCCUCGCCUCACAUCGCCUCACGUCACCUCACGUCACCUCACGUCGCCUUGCCUCGCCUCAUGUCGCCUUGCCUCACCUCACGUCGCCUCACCACGCCUCACGUUGCCUCACGUCGCCUUGCUUUGCCUCGCCUCACACCGCCUCACCUCACGCCGCCUCGCCGCGCGUCGCCUCGCCUCGCAGCGUGUCAUCUCGCCACGGUCGGCAUCCUCACCAGCAACUGGGACUGGUGGUGGCGGGGGGCCGCGUUCAAGGGUGCCGAGGCAGGAGCGCCGCCCUGCCCGAGCCCUGCGCACAUGAGCACGGCAGCGGCAGAGGCACGGCAGCUCCCUGGGGCUGCGUGAGGCCGGAUCCUGCCCCUCCUCGCUCGUUCGAGGAAGGCUAUCCCCUGCGUUAUCCCGCUGCCCCUCUUCUCGGCGUGCAGCGUCACAGCGUCUGGGUGCCCGCUCCUGCCCUUGGAAGGCUUCGCGUGCGUCCUGACGAGCCCCACUGCCAGGAAGCUGUGCCGACGUUCAGGUUCGCUUGCGUUCCUUGGUACCAGCCUCACCGCCGCUGCCGCCGCGAGCAGCCCCUGCCGCCCCAGGCUGAGACACAGCAGCGCCAGCGCUGCAGCCACCUGGGCGGCGGUUCCCUGGACCCCCUGUAUUUGGGAUUUUGUUCAGUAGAGAUCUCCGCGGCAGCGGAAAAGGAAGUCCUCGAGUACAGAAAAUAG
rnacentral:lncRNA from 1 species